GGUUGGUAUGGACCGGGGUAAGGCCGGUGGCGUCGGCCAGAUCGACCUGCGUGAUCGGUAGUUCGAAACCAUGUUCGUCCGCCA
rnacentral:tRNA from 1 species